AGAGUUUGAUCCUGGCUCAGGAUGAACGCUAGCGACAGGCCUAACACAUGCAAGUCGAGGGGCAGCGAAGAGGUAGCAAUACCUUUGUCGGCGACCGGCGCACGGGUGAGUAACACGUAUGCAAUCCACCUGUAACAGGGGGAUAACCCGGAGAAAUCCGGACUAAUACCCCAUAAUAUGGGCGCUCCGCAUGGAGAGCCCAUUAAAGAGAGCAAUUUUGGUUACAGACGAGAACAUGCGCUCCAUUAGCCAGUUGGCGGGGUAACGGCCCACCAAAGCGACGAUGGAUAGGGGUUCUGAGAGGAAGGUCCCCCACAUUGGAACUGAGACACGGUCCAAACUCCUACGGGAGGCAGCA
rnacentral:rRNA from 1 species